ACAAUAAUAAGUGAUAAAACUAUUUGUUAUAUACGAAGAGUGUCGUGGAAGAGUAUGGCUAAAUUUGUUCAGUUUGUUUAUUUUAUGAUUAUCUUUUUGUAUGUAUUUCUUGUUUCAAUAAACAUUGAUGCGUUUGCUAAGUGUAUAGAAGAUUCUGAUUGUCCACCGUCUAUGUAUUGUGAACCUAGUUUUUUUUUAUGGUGGUUCGGGUUUGAACCUAAUUUUAAAUCAGUUUGUGUUAAAUGGUGAAUGCAGAUGUUAUAUAAUAUUGUCAAUUUCUAUUCCCACGUCAUUAUGCAUUUAGGGCUGGACUUAAGAGUGUACAGAAAUACCCUACUAAAACAUUUUACAAGCCGUCAUUUAGUCAUAAUGAUGGUAUCGAAAAGUUUUUGUACUCUAAAAUAAUCGUAAUGAAAUAAAUAAGGCAGCGAAUAAUAAAUAGUUUUUACUUUAAUUUUAUAGUUUAAUUAAUAUCGUAGUAUUGUUAUUGAUAUUCUGGCACGUUAGACUUACGAUGUUUUAUGUGAUGUUUCAACACAAGUUAUACAGAAACAUAUGUUGAAUAAAAUGUUUCGAACACUAAGCUAACACAAGACAAGAAAAAAAAGCAAAGCACGAAGUAAAAGACACAGUGAGUUUGUUAACCCAGUUUGGUGCAACGUCACCUACUCUGGGGGCUACCAAGUCAGGAAGGAAAUCCACUAGUGUAGUCCGUAUUCAAUAGCUCUCAGGAAACUCCUCGUUUGCACAAAUGACCUAGGACCAACCCGUACUGACUUCAACCUAGUAACUCCUAGAUCUGAGAUCCCAUCUCACUCCAUUACAACUGAUCAUAGCCCCUAUGAUACUCAAAUACAAAUACAAUCAAAAUGAAGUUACCUUCAAACAAUACAACUGAAUACCGUACUUCACAGCUUUGGUGCAGUUUACAAACUACCUAAAUCUUUGCUUAAAAGCUUCAGAGUAGUGCACAAAUUACAACUCAAACACAGUCCUAAACUGUACAAGGAGAAGGUGAAAAGGUAUCAUGACAAGCGGAUUGUGAAACUAAACUUCGAGCCCGACCAAAUGGUGUUACUUUUUAACUCGAGAUUGAGAUUAUUUUCGGGCAAGCUCAAGUCGAAGUGGUCCGGUCCGUUCUUGAUUAAAGAAGAAAGGCCUUAUGUAGCGGUGGUGUUGGAAGAUCCAAUGACAACGGCCGACUGGACGGUCAUUGGGCAAAGAUUGAAGCCCUACAUUAGUGGUGAAGUUGAUCGGAAAACGUUGACAAUUUCACUAAAUGAUUCGUGAUUUCUUUAUGAAAAAGGCAUCGAGCUUAUGACGUGAAACAAGCGCUUGCUGGGAAGCAACCCAGGUGAUUGAGCUUAGAGUGAUGUGUUGCUGUCGUGAGUGACUUAUUCCUCACUGAGUCGAUUAGGUUGCUCUGAUACGUAACGGGAUGGGGUUUAUGAUUGCAUGCUUCAUUUCCUUUACGUAUUGACUAUGAUAUUUAUGAUUUGAGUUAUUUAAACUGAAUUUAUUGAGAUGUCAUGAUGAGGCUUGCGUGCCAAACUUAUUUAUGAUUGAUGAAACAAUUCCGCUGCGAUGAUUGAAGUAUUUUGGUUGAAAGUUAAAUUGUUAUUUAACUAUUUAUGAAUAUGUGAAAUGUGAUAUCCCGUUUGUGAUGUUUUA